AGCGAACGCUGGCGGCAGGCUUAACACAUGCAAGUCGAGCGGGCGUAGCAAUACGUCAGCGGCAGACGGGUGAGUAACGCGUGGGAACGUACCUUUUGGUUCGGAACAACACAGGGAAACUUGUGCUAAUACCGGAUAAGCCCUUACGGGGAAAGAUUUAUCGCCGAAAGAUCGGCCCGCGUCUGAUUAGCUAGUUGGUGAGGUAACGGCUCACCAAGGCGACGAUCAGUAGCUGGUCUGAGAGGAUGAUCAGCCACAUUGGGACUGAGACACGGCCCAAACUCCUACGGGAGGCAGCAGUGGGGAAUAUUGGACAAUGGGCGCAAGCCUGAUCCAGCCAUGCCGCGUGAGUGAUGAAGGCCCUAGGGUUGUAAAGCUCUUUUGUGCGGGAAGAUAAUGACGGUACCGCAAGAAUAAGCCCCGG
rnacentral:rRNA from 1 species